UGCCAGCCGCCGCGGUAAUACGGAGGGUGCAAGCGUUGUCCGGAUUUAUUGGGUUUAAAGGGUGCGUAGGUGGUUUAUUAAGUCAGUGGUGAAAGUCAACAGCUUAACUGUUGAAGUGCCAUUGAUACUGAUAGACUUGAGUAUCGUUGAGGUAGGCGGAAUUUAUGAUGUAGCGGUGAAAUGCAUAGAUAUCAUAAAGAACACCGAUAGCGAAGGCAGCUUACUAAACGAUAACUGACACUGAGGCACGAAAGCGUGGGGAGCGAACAGGAUUAGAUA
rnacentral:rRNA from 1 species